GUGCGUCAGGGAGGGCGGGCGGCGGUCGCAGCGCUGAUUGGCUGGCGGGGGCUGGCGCGCGCGGCGCCCCGCCCCUUUUGCGUCUCCGCCCUCCUCUCCUCGGCGCUCGGCCGUGAGGCCGCUGCCUUCCCCUCGCGCUGAGGGGAACGCGGGGUUCCGCGGUGAAAGGAGCAGGGACAAAGCAGUGGAUUGCACUCUACCAGCUGGGCCACUAGCAAGGCAGAAAGGAGUUUUCCUUGAUCCUGAAGGGAUUUGGGCGUCCUUGACAAGGCACUGAAUUAAUCCUUCCAUCAAAUGAUCCCAAAGGUGGCCUUCACUCAUUGGCAGCUCGGAAUUCCAGGUGAAAUUCUCUCUCAGGAAGCA